rnacentral:rRNA from 1 species
GAUGAACGCUAGCGGCAGGCCUAAUACAUGCAAGUCGAGGGGUAGUGGUUGCUUGCAGCCAUGAGACCGGCGCACGGGUGCGUAACGCGUAUGCAACCUACCUUCAUCUGGGGGAUAGCCAGGAGAAAUCCGGAUUAAUACCGCAUAAAAUCACAGUACGGCAUCGUACAAUGAUCAAACAUUUAUGGGAUGGAGAUGGGCAUGCGUGUCAUUAGUUAGUUGGCGGGGUAACGGCCCACCAAGACCGCGAUGACUAGGGGAUCUGAGAGGAUGACCCCCCACACUGGUACUGAGACACGGACCAGACUCCUACGGGAGGCAGCAGUAAGGAAUAUUGGUCAAUGGGCGCAAGCCUGAACCAGCCAUGCCGCGUGCAGGAAGACGGCCCUCCGGGUUGUAAACUGCUUUUAUUCGGGAAUAAACCUGCUUACGUGUAAGUAGCUGAAUGUACCGAAGGAGUAAGGAUCGGCUAACUCCGUGCCAGCCGCCGCUGUAAGAC